GCGGGGCCGCUGGCCGAGAGGCUGAGGCGGCGUCAUGUCCUCCGAGGUGUCCGCGCGCCGCGACGCCAAGAAGCUGGUGCGCUCCCCGAGCGGCCUGCGCAUGGUGCCCGAACACCGCGCCUUCGGAAGCCCGUUCGGCCUGGAGGAGCCGCAGUGGGUCCCGGACAAGGAGUGUCGGAGAUGUAUGCAGUGUGACGCCAAGUUUGACUUUCUCACCAGAAAGCACCACUGUCGCCGCUGCGGGAAGUGCUUCUGCGACAGGUGCUGCAGCCAGAAGGUGCCGCUGCGGCGCAUGUGCUUUGUGGACCCCGUGCGGCAGUGCGCGGAGUGCGCCCUGGUGUCCCACAAGGAGGCGGAGUUCUACGACAAGCAGCUCAAAGUGCUCCUGAGCGGUAAGGACGGGUGUCCUGCGCAGUCCUGCGCGCUCCGCCAGCCGGCUCCUCGUGUCUGUGGCGAUGCUGUGGGCUGUGCACGGGGCGUUCUGCUUCUCUUUGACGUUCUCUCGCCCUCCCUCCCUUCCCCGUUUUCUUCUGGAUUCGUUUAGAAGCGGUUAUAGAGCCUUCCCUUCUUUU
rnacentral:sRNA from 1 species